AACCUAGUAAAUAAAAUCACCAAAAACAGAGAAAACAGCUGCAACAACUAGAGAAAAAGGAAAAAAUAGUAGCUAAAAGAGGAAAAAGAGAUCCCCAAGUUCAAUUGGUCUCAAAAUCGGAUGUUUGUGAAGAAAAAGAGAGUGAGCAAUUAGUGCAGACAGUGUUCAAACAACAUAAACAAGAGUUGAUAGCUAAGAUCUAUCUCAGUGAGGAUACACAUAUAGAGUCUUCAUAUAUCGAAGAAAAAUUUGAAUUACCACUAUCAUCGUUAGGUUUGUCUUGAGCUAUUCUAUUAUAUGUAAAUAAAUUUUAAAUAUAAGUACAUUUGUCCAAGAUUAUUUUUGUCUUCAUGUUAUGAACUUCCCACAAUCCUACAUUAUUGCUACUCAAAAAACAAUUUAAUUUU